GGGGAAUAUUGCACAAUGGGCGAAAGUCUGACGGAGCAACGCCGCGUGAGUGAUGAAGGUUUUCGGAUCGUAAAGCUCUGUUGCCAGGGAAGAACGUCCGUUAGAGUAACUGCUAACGGAGUGACGGUACCUGAGAAGAAAGCCCCGGCUAACUACGUGCCAGCAGCCGCGGUAAUACGUAGGGGGCGAGCGUUGUCCGGAAUUAUUGGGCGUAAAGCGCGCGCAGGCGGCUGUUUAAGUCUGGUGUUUAAUCCUGGGGCUCAACCCCGGGUCGCACUGGAAACUGGGCAGCUUGAGUGCAGAAGAGGAGAGUGGAAUUCCACGUGUAGCGGUGAAAUGCGUAGAGAUGUGGAGGAACACCAGUGGCGAAGGCGACUCUCUGGGCUGUAACUGACGCUGAGGCGCGAAAGCGUGGGGAGCAAAC
rnacentral:rRNA from 1 species